rnacentral:misc_RNA from 1 species
CACUGGCUUGCUUUAAAUAGAUUAGCUGGGCGCAUUUACAAGUUAAGUCUCACAAGCGUAAUAAGUCUUAUUUCGUUUGGUUUUCGAUUUCUCUCUGCAAAGAGGGGAAAAGAAGGGGCCUGCUUUAAAUCGCUUGCUUCUGAGCAUACAAUCUUUUUUCAUCAGACCUCAAAUCAGGUAGGACUACCCGCUGAACUUAA